AGCGGCGGAUGGGUGAGUAACACGUGGGGAACCUGCCCCUAAGUCUGGGAUACCAUUUGGAAACAGGUGCUAAUACCGGAUAAUAAAGCAGAUCGCAUGAUCAGCUUUUGAAAGGCGGCGUAAGCUGUCGCUAAGGGAUGGCCCCGCGGUGCAUUAGCUAGUUGGUAAGGUAACGGCUUACCAAGGCGACGAUGCUUAGCCGAGUUGAGAGACUGAUCGGCCACAUUGGGACUGAGACACGGCCCAAACUCCUACGGGAGGCAGCAGUAGGGAAUCUUCCACAAUGGACGCAAGUCUGAUGGAGCAACGCCGCGUGAGUGAAGAAGGGUUUCGGAUCGUAAAGCUCUGUUGUUGGUGAAGAAGGAUAGAGGUAGUAACUGGCCUUUAUUUGACGGUAAUCAACCAGAAAGUCACGGCUAACUACGUGCCAGCAGCCGCGGUAAUACGUAGGUGGCAAGCGUUGUCCGGAUUUAUUGGGCGUAAAGCGAGCGCAGGCGGAAAAAUAAGUCUAAUGUGAAAGCCCUCGGCUUAACCGAGGAACUGCAUCGGAAACUGUUUUUCUUGAGUGCAGAAGAGGAGAGUGGAACUCCAUGUGUAGCGGUGGAAUGCGUAGAUAUAUGGAAGAACACCAGUGGCGAAGGCGGCUCUCUGGUCUGCAACUGACGCUGAGGCUCGAAAGCAUGGGUAGCGAACAGGAUUAGAUACCCUGGUAGUCCAUGCCGUAAACGAUGAGUGCUAAGUGU
rnacentral:rRNA from 1 species